rnacentral:rRNA from 1 species
UCUACGGGAGGCAGCAGUGGGGAAUAUUGGACAAUGGGCGAAAGCCUGAUCCAGCAAUGCCGCGUGAGUGAUGAAGGCCUUAGGGUUGUAAAGCUCUUUUACCCGGGAUGAUAAUGACAGUACCGGGAGAAUAAGCACCGGCUAACUCCGUGCCAGCAGCCGCGGUAAUA